rnacentral:rRNA from 1 species
CCUACGGGAGGCAGCAGUGGGGAAUAUUGCACAAUGGGGGAAACCCUGAUGCAGCGACGCCGCGUGAGUGAAGAAGUAUUUCGGUAUGUAAAGCUCUAUCAGCAGGGAAGAAAAUGACGGUACCUGAUUCAGAAGCCCAGGCUAACUACGUGCCAGCAGCCGCGGUAAUACGUAGGGGGCAAGCGUUAUCCGGAUUUAAUGGGUGUAAAGGGAGCGUAGACGGCAGCACAAGUCUGGAGUGAAAUGCCGGGGCUUAACCCCGGAACUGCUUUGGAAACUGUGCAGCUAGAGUGCAGGAGAGGUAAGUGGAAGUCCUAGUGUAGCGGUGAAAUGCGUAGAUAUUAGGAGGAACACCAGUGGCGAAGGCGGCUUACUGGACUGUAACUGACGUUGAGGCUCGAAAGCGUGGGGAGCAAACAGGAUUAGAUACCCGAGUAGUC